GCCACGCCUCCUAAAAAGCAUUUUUAUCGCUGCAUGUAAUCUCAUACUCUACUUUGUCUCCUGCACUCGCCAGCAGUCCUGCUGUGAGUAGACAAAAACUGCAUCAAGCAUAGCUUAGUCCAAGGGCCAUAAACAUUACUGCACGGCGCACAUGGGCUGAUCAGCUUCGCAGAAUGAUUACACAUUACCAGAUCUAAGCCAAGUGAACUGACCGUCUGCCAACAUCUCCUACAAAAAACUCUGAAAGGUCAAAGACAAUGACAGAGCACUCCGAUUCACAAUGUAAUAAAAUUCACAGGGUUUAAAGAAACAAACCUGGAUUCCUAACAGGAUGGUGUCCUAGUGCCCCUCCCCAUGUUUGCAGUAAAAACGCAGAGUGUGCAUCAGAGGCGGAUC